rnacentral:misc_RNA from 1 species
GAUGAAGAACGAAGCGAAAUGCGAUAAGUAAUGUGAAUUGCAGAAUUCAGUGAAUCAUCGAAUCUUUGAACGCACAUUGCGCCCCCUGGCAUUCCGGGGGGCAUGCCUGUCCGAGCGUCAUUACAACCCUCAAGCUCAGCUUGGUGUUGGGCCCCGCCGCCCCGGCGGGCCCUAAAGUCAGUGGCGGUGCCGUCCGGCUCCGAGCGUAGUAAUUCUUCUCGCUCUGGAGGUCCGGUCGCGUGCUCGCCAGCAACCCCCAAUUUUUCUAUGGUUGACCUCGGAUCAGGUAGGGAUACCCGCUGAACUUAAGCAUAUCAAUAAGCGGAGGA